GGUCGCUGCCCUCUUCGGGCGUUUCCUCCCAGACUCAGCCCCGGCCGCCGCAAAGUGGCCGGGGCCUUUUCGUGGCGGCU
rnacentral:sRNA from 2 species